rnacentral:lncRNA from 1 species
CCUCAUUCCAGCAUCCAAGGCAACACCGUUUCUGUCCGUUUGCCCAAAACAAAACCCGAGCUGCAAAGGAUUGAUUUAUCCCGCGGACUCUGGCAGGCCGGCCUGUCCACCAGCACCGUCUGCACGCAGCGGGGACAACUUAGCACGUCUCGAAGCCGCUCCGCUCCCCUCUGCCGCCCACCUGUCUCUUGGCUCCCCCUGCAUCCUGGGGCCUGGCCCAGCACUCGUCUUUGUCCUUGGCCCUGGGCUUAAGGAGAAGCUUAAGCUUUCUGCAACCUGGCAGCCUCCAUCCUAAAGCCUUCUCUCACCCGGUGGGCUUAGCCAGAGAGGACCCCGAUGCUGUCGGGGAAACAUUUCCGACCCCAGACCAGGACAAGAGCGGCUUGGCUGAAGAGGCGCGAGAUUGAUGUUCUUGAAGAUACUGUGUAUCCGUGUCCAUGCUGUCGGGCUAUGGCUCAAAAGGCAUCACAUGAAGGGAAGAUUAUGUGGUAUUUUUAAAAAAUCACGUGUAUUCAUUAUUUGUAACCCCACGUUUUAAUCUCCCUGGGCCCCCUUUGAGCACGGACUUGGUUCCCAAAACAAUAUUAUUUAGCCUCGAAUUAGGGUUUGCAUCCAGAUUUAUCCACGGGAAAUAAAAUGGGGUGG